rnacentral:rRNA from 1 species
CCUACGGGAGGCUGCAGUGGGGGAUAUUGCACAAUGGGGGGAACCCUGAUGCAGCGACGCCGCGUGGGUGAAGAAGCGCCUCGGCGCGUAAAGCCCUGUCAGCAGGGAAGAAAAUGACGGUACCUGAAGAAGAAGCCCCGGCUAACUACGUGCCAGCAGCCGCGGUAAUACGUAGGGGGCAAGCGGUAUCCGGAUUUACUGGGUGUAAAGGGGGCGCAGUCGGCGAUGCAAGCCAGGAGGGAAAGCCCGGGGGCCAACCCCGGGACUGCUCUUGGAACUGCGUGGCUGGAGUGCAGGAGGGGCAGGCGGAAUUCGUGGUGUAGCGGUGAAAUGCGUAGAUAUCAGGAGGAACACCGGUGGCGAAGGCGGCCUGCUGGAGUGCAACUGACGUUGAGGCCCGAAAGCGUGGGGAGCAAACAGGAUUAGAUACCCGAGUAGUC